GAACGCUGGCGGCGUGCUUAACACAUGCAAGUCGAACGAGAACGGAUUAUAGCUUGCUAUAAUUGUCAGCUAAGUGGCGCACGGGUGAGUAAUAUAUAGAUAACCUGCCCUCUAGAAAGGAAUAACAGUUGGAAACGACUGCUAAUGCCCUAUAUGCCUUUAAUACAUAAGUAUGCAAGGGAAACGCUUUAGUGCUAGAGGAUGGGUCUGUAUGGUAUCAGCUUGUUGGUGAGGUAAUGGCUCACCAAGGCUAUGACGCCUAACUGGUUUGAGAGGAUGAUCAGUCACACUGGAACUGAGACACGGUCCAGACUCCUACGGGAGGCAGCAGUAAGGAAUAUUGGGCAAUGGACGGAAGUCUGACCCAGCCAUCCCGCGUGCAGGACGAAUGCCCUAUGGGUUGUAAACUGCUUUUGUUUGGGAAGAAAUGUAUUCUUUUAAGAGUAUUUGACGGUACCAGACGAAUAAGCACCGGCUAACUACGUG
rnacentral:rRNA from 1 species